rnacentral:rRNA from 1 species
UUAUCGGAGAGUUUGAUCCUGGCUCAGGACGAACGCUGGCGGCGUGCCUAAUACAUGCAAGUCGAGCGGACAGAUGGGAGCUUGCUCCUUGAUGUUAGCGGCGGACGGGUGAGUAACACGUGGGUAACCUGCCUGUAAGACUGGGAUAACUCCGGGAAACCGGGGCUAAUACCGGAUGGUUGUUUGAACCGCAUGGUUCAAACAUAAAAGGUGGCUUCGGCUACCACUUACAGAUGGACCCGCGGCGCAUUAGCUAGUUGGUGAGGUAACGGCUCACCAAGGCAACGAUGCGUAGCCGACCUGAGAGGGUGAUCGACCACACUGGGACUGAGACACGACCAGACUCCUACGGGAGGCAGCAGUAGGGAAUCUUCCGCAAUGGACGAAAGUCUGACGGAGCAACGCCGCGUGAGUGAUGAAGGUUUUCGGAUCGUAAAGCUCUGUUGUUAGGGAAGAACAAGUACCGUUCGAAUAGGGCGGUACCUUGACGGUACCUAACCAGAAAGCCACGGCUAACUACGUGCCAGCAGCCGCGGUAAUACGUAGGUGGCAAGCGUUGUCCGGAAUUAUUGGGCGUAAAGGGCUCGCAGGCGGUUUCUUAAGUCUGAUGUGAAAGCCCCCGGCUCAACCGGGGAGGGUCAUUGGAAACUGGGGAACUUGAGUGCAGAAGAGGAGAGUGGAAUUCCACGUGUAGCGGUGAAAUGCGUAGAGAUGUGGAGGAACACCAGUGGCGAAGGCGACUCUCUGGUCUGUAACUGACGCUGAGGAGCGAAAGCGUGGGGAGCGAACAGGAUUAGAUACCCUGGUAGUCCACGCCGUAAACGAUGAGUGCUAAGUGUUAGGGGGUUUCCGCCCCUUAGUGCUGCAGCUAACGCAUUAAGCACUCCGCCUGGGGAGUACGGUCGCAAGACUGAAACUCAAAGGAAUUGACGGGGGCCCGCACAAGCGGUGGAGCAUGUGGUUUAAUUCGAAGCAACGCGAAGAACCUUACCAGGUCUUGACAUCCUCUGACAAUCCUAGAGAUAGGACGUCCCCUUCGGGGGCAGAGUGACAGGUGGUGCAUGGUUGUCGUCAGCUCGUGUCGUGAGAUGUUGGGUUAAGUCCCGCAACGAGCGCAACCCUUGAUCUUAGUUGCCAGCAUUCAGUUGGGCACUCUAAGGUGACUGCCGGUGACAAACCGGAGGAAGGUGGGGAUGACGUCAAAUCAUCAUGCCCCUUAUGACCUGGGCUACACACGUGCUACAAUGGACAGAACAAAGGGCAGCGAAACCGCGAGGUUAAGCCAAUCCCACAAAUCUGUUCUCAGUUCGGAUCGCAGUCUGCAACUCGACUGCGUGAAGCUGGAAUCGCUAGUAAUCGCGGAUCAGCAUGCCGCGGUGAAUACGUUCCCGAGCUUUGUACACACCGCCCGUCACACCACGAGAGUUUGUAACACCCGAAGUCGGUGAGGUAACCUUUUAGGAGCCAGCCGCCGAAGGUGGGACAGAUGAUUGGGGUGAAGUCGUAACAAGGUAGCCGUAUCGGAAGGUGCGGCUGGAUCACCUCCUUU